GCGUUGUCCGGAUUUAUUGGGUUUAAAGGGUGCGCAGGUGGUUUAUUAAGUCAGUGGUGAAAGACGGUCGCUCAACGAUUGCAGUGCCAUUGAAACUGGUAGACUUGAGUAAAGUAGAGGUGGGCGGAAUUGAUAGUGUAGCGGUGAAAUGCAUAGAUAUUAUCAAGAACUCCAAUUGCGUAGGCAGCUCACUUGGCUUUUACUGACACUCAUGCACGAAAGUGUG
rnacentral:rRNA from 1 species